UUACGGCCAUAUAGUGUUGAAACACCUGUUCCCAUACGAUCAUUAAAGUUAAGCCAAGUUGAGCCUGGUCAGUACCUAGAUGGGUCACUGCUUGUGAACACCAAGUGCUGUAA